UACGUAGGGUGCAAGCGUUGUCCGGAAUCAUUGGGCGUAAAGCGCGCGUAGGUGGCUUCGUAAGUCCGUUGUGAAAGUCAAAGGCUCAACCUUUGAAAGCCGAUGGAUACUGUGGAGCUAGAGUACGGAAGAGGCGAGUGGAAUUCCUGGUGUAGCGGUGGAAUGCGCAGAUAUCAGGAGGAACACCAAUAGCGAAGGCAGCUCGCUGGGACGUAACUGACGCUGAGACGCGAAAGCGUGGGGAGCAAACAGG
rnacentral:rRNA from 1 species